ACUUAAAUAAUUUAUAUAAAAUAUUGAUUUGUGGUAUCAAAAAAAUGAAAAAUUCAUUUUAGGUA
rnacentral:tRNA from 1 species